rnacentral:rRNA from 1 species
ACAAUGAAGAGUUUGAUCCUGGCUCAGGAUGAACGCUAGCUACAGGCUUAACACAUGCAAGUCGAGGGGCAGCAUGGUCUUAGCUUGCUAAGGCCGAUGGCGACCGGCGCACGG